rnacentral:rRNA from 1 species
CACGUAGGGGCAAGCGUUAUCCGGAUUUACUGGGUGUAAAGGGAGCGCAGACGGAACUGCAAGUCUGAUGUGAAAGCCCGGGGCUCAACCGCGGGACUGCAUUGGAAACUGUAGAUCUGGAGUGCCGGAGGGGCAAGCGGAAUUCCUGGUGUAGCGGUGAAAUGCGUAGAUAUCAGGAGGAACACCGGCGGCGAAGGCGGCUUGCUGGACGGCAACUGACGUUGAGGCUCGAAAGCGUGGGGAGCAAACAGGAUUAGAUACCCGGGUAGU